AGGUCAGGAUUGGUGGCAAUGCUUAUAAACAUGCCAGUAUUGCACUUGUCCCGGCCUUU
rnacentral:pre_miRNA from 1 species